rnacentral:rRNA from 1 species
UACGUAGGGUGCGAGCGUUGUCCGGAAUUAUUGGGCGUAAAGGGCUCGUAGGCGGUUUGUCGCGUCGGGAGUGAAAUCCACUGGCUUAACUGGUGGCUUGCUUUCGAUACGGGUAGACUGGAGGUAUGCAGGGGAGAACGGAAUUCCUGGUGUAGCGGUGAAAUGCGCAGAUAUCAGGAGGAACACCAAUAGCGAAGGCAGCUCGCUGGGACGUUACUGACACUGAGGCGCGAAAGCGUGGGGAGCGAACAGG